UACAGGGGGUGCAAACGUUGCUCGGAAUCAUUGGGCGUAAAGCGCACGUAGGCGGUUCGUUAUGUCGGAUGUGAAAGCCCUUGGCUUAACCGAGGAAGUGCAUCCGAAACUGGCGAGCUAGAGUACUAAAGAGGAUCGCGGAAUUCCCGGUGUAGAGGUGAAAUUCGUAGAUAUCGGGAGGAACACCGGUGGCGAAGGCGGGUCUCUGGACAGUUCCUGACGCUGAGGCACGAAGGUCAGGGGAGCAAACGGG
rnacentral:rRNA from 1 species